rnacentral:rRNA from 1 species
UACAGAGGGGGCAAGCGUUGUUCGGAAUUACUGGGCGUAAAGGGCGCGUAGGCGGCCUGUUAAGUCGAACGUGAAAUCCCUGGGCUCAACCCAGGAACUGCGUCCGAUACUGGCAGGCUUGAAUCCGGGAGAGGGAUGUGGAAUUCCAGGUGUAGCGGUGAAAUGCGUAGAUAUGCGGAGGAACACCGAUGGCGAAGGCAGCCCCCUGGGCCAAUACUGACGCUCAGGCACGAAAGCGUGGGGAGCAAACAGG